CACGGGGGGAGCAAGCGUUGUUCGGAAUCACUGGGCGUAAAGGGCGUGCAGGCGGUCAGGUAAGUGGGAUGUGAAAUGCCCCGGCUCACCCGGGGACCGGCAUCUCAUACUGCUUGGCUUGAGUACGGGAGAGGAUGUGGGAAUUCCUGGUGUAGCGGUGAAAUGCGUAGAUAUCAGGAGGAACACCGGUGGCGAAGGCGGCAUCCUGGACCAACACUGACGCUGAGUGAGCGAAAGCCAGGGGAGCAAACGGG
rnacentral:rRNA from 1 species